rnacentral:rRNA from 1 species
GGGAUUGCCCUAGUAACGGCGAGUGAAGCGGCAUCAGCUCAAAUUUGAAAUCUGGCUCUUUCAGGGUCCGAGUUGUAAUUUGCAGAGGGCGCUUUGGCGUUGGCAGCGGUCCAAGUUCCUUGGAACAGGACGUCACAGAGGGUGAGAAUCCCGUACGUGGUCGCUGGCCUUCACCGUGUAAAGCCCCUUCGACGAGUCGAGUUGUUUGGGAAUGCAGCUCUAAAUGGGAGGUAAAUUUCUUCUAAAGCUAAAUACUGGCCAGAGACCGAUAGCGCACAAGUAGAGUGAUCGAAAGAUGAAAAGCACUUUGGAAAGAGAGUCAAAUAGCACGUGAAAUUGUUGAAAGGGAAGCGCUUGCAGCCAGACUUGCCUGUAGUUGCUCAUCCGGGCUUUUGCCCGGUGCAUUCUUCUGUAGGCAGGCCAGCAUCAGUUUGGGCGGUUGGAUAAAGGUCUCUGUCACGUACCUCCUCUCGGGGAGGCCUUAUAGGGGAGACGUCAUGCAACCAGCCUGGACUGAGGUCCGCGCAUCUGCUAGGAUGCUGGCGUAAUGGCUGUAAGCGGCCCGUCUUGAAACACGGACCAAGGAGUCUAACAUCUAUGCGAGUGUUUGGGUGUCAAGCCCGAGCGCGUAAUGAAAGUGAACGGAGGUGGGAUCCCUUAAGGGUGCACCAUCGACCGAUCCUGAUGUCUUCGGAUGGAUUUGAGUAAGAGCAUGGCUGUUGGGACCCGAAAGAUGGUGAACUAUGCUUGAAUAGGGUGAAGCCAGAGGAAACUCUGGUGGAGGCUCGCAGCGGUUCUGACGUGCAAAUCGAUCGUCAAAUUUGGGCAUAGGGGCG